rnacentral:rRNA from 1 species
GUCUAUGGCCAUGCCACCCUGAACAAACCUGAUGUCUGAUCUCGGAAGCUAAGCAGGGUCGGGCUUGGUUAGUACUUGGAUGGGAGAUCAACUAGGAAGACCAGGUGCUAUAGGCA